AUCCAGCCGACGAGUCCCAAAUACGACGAAAUGCACAUCCUGGAU
rfam:Trichobilharzia regenti genome assembly, scaffold: TRE_scaffold0006574